rnacentral:rRNA from 1 species
UGAGGAAUAUUGGUCAAUGGGCGCAAGCCUGAACCAGCCAAGUCGCGUGAGGGAAGACGGUCCUAUGGAUUGUAAACCUCUUUUGUCGGGGAGCAAAGCGCGGUACGAGUACCGUGAAGGAGAGUACCCGAAGAAAAAGCAUCGGCUAACUCCGUGCCAGCAGCCGCGGUAAUACGGAGGAUGCGAGCGUUAUCCGGAUUUAUUGGGUUUAAAGGGUGCGUAGGCGGAUUUGUAAGUCAGCGGUAAAAAUGCGGUGCUCAACGCCGUAUCGCCGUUGAAACUGCGGGUCUUGAGUGAGCGAGA